UUUCCUUCGGGAGACAAGUAGAGUGGCGCACGGGUGAGUAACACGUAGGUAAUCUACCUUUGGAUGGGGAAUAACAACCGGAAACGGUUGCUAAUACCGCAUAAUGCAGCGGCACCUAAUGGUGACAGUUGUUAAAGCGGGGGAUCGCAAGACCUCGCGUCUAAAGAGGAGCCUGCGGCGGAUUAGCUAGUUGGUAAGGUAAUGGCUUACCAAGGCUACGAUCCGUAACCGGCCUGAGAGGGCGGUCGGUCACACUGACACUGACAUACGGGUCAGACUCCUACGGGAGGCAGCAGUCGGGAAUUUUGGGCAAUGGGCGAAAGCCUGACCCAGCAACGCCGCGUGAAGGAUGAAAUCCCUCGGGAUGUAAACUUCGCAAGAACGGGAAGAAUAAGUAGGGGACAAUACCCCCUAUGAUGACGGUACCGUUUGUAAGCUCCGGCUAACUCCGUGCCAGCAGCCGCGGUAAUACGGGGGGAGCAAGCGUUGUUCGGAUUUACUGGGCGUAAAGGGCGCGUAGGCGGUCAGCACAAGUCAGUUGUGAAAUCUCCGAGCUUAACUCGGAAAGGUCAACUGAUACUGUGCGACUAGAGUGCGGAAGGGGCAACUGGAAUUCUUGGUGUAGCGGUGAAAUGCGUAGAUAUCAAGAGGAACACCUGCGGCGAAGGCGGGUUGCUGGGCCGACACUGACGCUGAAGUGCGAAAGCCAGGGGAGCGAACGGGAUUAGAUACCCCGGUAGUCCUGGCCUUAAACGAUGAAUGCUUGGUGUCUGGGGUUAUAAAGUCCCCGGGUGCCGUCGCUAACGCUUUAAGCAUUCCGCCUGGGGAGUACGGUCGCAAGACUG
rnacentral:rRNA from 1 species